AUUGAACGCUGGCGGCAGGCUUAACACAUGCAAGUCGAGCGGGGGAAGGUAGCUUGCUACUGGACCUAGCGGCGGACGGGUGAGUAAUGCUUAUGAAUCUGCCUAUUAGUGGGGGACAACAUCUCGAAAGGGAUGCUAAUACCGCAUACGUCCUACGGGAGAAAGCAGGGGAUCUUCGGACCUUGCGCUAAUAGAUGAGCCUAAGUCGGAUUAGCGAGUUGGUGGGGUAUAGGCCUACCAAGGCGACGAUCUGUAGCGGGUCUGAGCGGAUGAUCCGCCACACUGGGACUGAGGCACGGCCCAGACUCCUACAGGAGGCAGCAGUGGGGAAUAUUGGACAAUGGGGUGAACCCUGAUCCAGCCAUGCCGCGUGUGUGAAGAAGGCCUUAUGGUUGUAAAGCACUUUAAGCGAGGAGGAGGCUACUUUAGUUAAUACCUAGAGAUAGUGGACGUUACUCGCAGAGUAAGCACCGGCUAACUCUGUGCCAGCCGCCGCGGUAA
rnacentral:rRNA from 1 species